UUAACCAUGAGUAACUUCAGUGCAAAGUACAUUUAGUUACUCGAGAGUGCAACUUCAAAGAGUUUUUGUGUUUUGUGUUUUGUGUAUAUGUUGUUUCUGGUAGCGGCAUUUCCCAGUUUAGAUCACAUCACAAUAUUAAAAAUCUUUUAGAGAUUUAAAUAUGGAGUCAGUUGAUUUCACAGUCUCUGAAGCAAAUGUAAAGGUUAUAUGCUCCAAAUGACUGGAAAACAACCAGCCAGCUCCAAGUAUCCUUGUCCCAUUUGCCCCUCCAAAACUCCAGAGCUUAGCUUGUUGCAUGUUCCUCCAGACAAGUCUAUCUUAGACAUAUUUGACAUUCCUGAACUUCACAUAAUUCUUGGAGUUACUGACAAGCUAAUAAAAACUUAUGAACAAAGUUUCAACUCUCCUGAAGAAGGGUUCAAUUGGUUGACCCGGUUUUUAAAAUCAAUCAACCUUUAAUGUAUCAAGGUAGAAUGGAAGAUUCAGGAUAUUGGACGAAACAGGCUCUUGAAACUGUCCCAAUUCUGGUCCAGGAGAAAAGUGAAAAUUGACCACAAAGAUUAUAAAGAUAUCCUAAAGUCUACUGUAUGAAAUGUAAUCUCUUACAACAUCAAACAUAUGUAAUAUGUAAUGAUCGGAACUAUGUAUUUUUAGAUUCAAUAAAAAAUUAAAACUU